rnacentral:rRNA from 1 species
AACGAACGCUGGCGGCAUGCCUAACACAUGCAAGUCGAACGAAACCUCCGUGCCUUUGUGCGCACGGCUGCUUAAGGCGUGGGAAGCUGCCCGUGGGUUCGGAAUACCUGCCUGUAAGGUGUGCUAAUACCGGUGAAUCUCUUCCCACCAAAGAUCUAUCGCCGUUGGGUGGGCCCGCGUUAGAUUAGCUAGUUGGUAGGGUAAAAGCCUGGCAAGGCGACGUUCCAUGGCUGGUCUGUGAGGAUGACAAUCAACACUGGGACUGAGACACGGACCAGACUGGUACGGAAGGGAGCAGUGGGGAAUAUUGGAGGAUGGGCGCAAGCCUAGUACAGCAGUGCGGGGUGAGUGAUGAAGGGGUUAGGGUUGUAAAGCUGCUUUAGACGAGAUGAUAAUGACGGUACCGGGAGAAUAAGCACCGGCUAACUACGUG